rnacentral:rRNA from 1 species
CCUUGCGCCGGCGACGGUUCAUUCAAAUUUCUGCCCUAUCAACUUUCGAUGGUAAGGUAUUGGCUUACCAUGGUUUCAACGGGUAACGGGGAAUUAGGGUUCGACUCCGGAGAGGGAGCCUGAGAAACGGCUACCACAUCCAAGGAAGGCAGCAGGCGCGCAAAUUACCCAAUCCCGACACGGGGAGGUAGUGACAAUAAAUACUGAUACAGGGCUCUUUUGGGUCUUGUAAUUGGAAUGAGUACAAUUUAAACCUCUUAACGAGGAACAAUUGGAGGGCAAGUCUGGUGCCAGCAGCCGCGGUAAUUCCAGCUCCAAUAGCGUAUAUUAAAGUUGUUGCAGUUAAAAAGCUCGUAGUUGAAUCUUGGGCCUGGCUGGCAGGUCCGCCUCACCGCGUGUACUUGUCCGGCCGGGCCUUCUCUUCUGGAGAACCGCAUGCCCUUCAUUGGGUGUGUUGGGGACCAGGACUUUUACUUUGAAAAAAUUAGAGUGUUCAAAGCAGGCCUUUGCUCGAAUACGUUAGCAUGGAAUAAUAGAAUAGGACGUGCGGUCCUAUUUUGUUGGUUUCUAGGACCGCCGUAAUGAUUAAUAGGGACAGUCGGGGGCAUCAGUAUUCAAUUGUCAGAGGUGAAAUUCUUGGAUUUAUUGAAGACUAACUACUGCGAAAGCAUUUGCCAAGGAUGUUUUCAUUAAUCAGUGAACGAAAGUUAGGGGAUCGAAGACGAUCAGAUACCGUCGUAGUCUUAACCAUAAACUAUGCCGACUAGGGAUCGGGCGGUGUUUUAAUAAUGACUCGCUCGGCACCUUACGAGAAAUCAAAGUGUUUGGGUCUGGGGAG